rnacentral:lncRNA from 1 species
AUUGAUAUGUGAUCUUUGGUGCAUUAUCUUCCUCACGUGCUCUGAAUGUGCACUGGUUGAUUCAGACUGUGUAGUACAACAUGGACCAGGUCCUUCUAUCAGUUCAUUUGUCAGUCUUCAAAACUCAACUGAAACUUGGGCCAACAAUUUCCCCCCUUUUGAUGAUGACAAACUAUGUGCUUAUUGAUAUCAGGGAACCUGUAAACUUGGCUGAACCCAACACUUAGAAAAUGAUUUAACUUAUCAUUAAAGAGGCAGAUUUAGUUCAGACUAAAAAAUUUUAAAGCACAAUA